rnacentral:lncRNA from 1 species
AUUGUCCUGAAGUCCUUUUUAUCGCCUCCUCACUAACAUUUGCUCAUCAGAAAAAGAGGCUCCAAUAAGAACAAGACUAGAGAAAGCAAAGAAAGGUAAAAAAGAACAAGCACAAUGUGUGCCUGCCUUUAUAUAUCAUCAUACCCAUACUUGUUUCAAAUGAUUUUUAUAAUCAUUAUAAUCGAUGAAUAUUGCAGAAUCAAAUUUGCUCUCUGCUUCACAGCUCCAAAACCAAAGGCAGCGGCUGUCAACAUACCCAAAACGAGAAGAUCUCGAGCCUCAGAGGACAUGGAAGUGUCAGCUGCUCCAGCUCCGAUACAGGAUCUUCCUAUGUGCCGACCAACACCUGUGUACUGCCCAGCGCCACCUGGUUGGUAUGUGCAUCAUAUAGUUACAAGUAGCCCAUUACCACCAUCGGCUAUUCCAGAAUCAGAAGUUCCGAUUUUAACAACUCAUCAAGCUCCAACUUUACUGAAAGAACCAGACGCUGCUAAGGCAAAGCCAAAACAAGCCACUAAAAAGAAAGAACCAGCUGCGCCAAAAGAAAAAGCCAAAGCAGCUCCUACGAAGAAGGAGCCCACAGUUACUAAAGCCAAAGUAAAACCUGCAGUGGCAAAGAAAGGGCUGAUCGCUGUGAAAGAGAGGUCUAAAAGGACAGAGCGAGUGAUCACUAAAGAAAAGGCAAAACCUACCUCUACUAAGAAAGAGCCAGCAGUAACAAAGAAGGCAAAAGUAACAACAACCUCACAUAAAGAAGAGAAAGCUGUAAAGGAAGUGAAGCCCAAAGCAGAGGUCAAGAAAAAGGCAGCAUCAACACCAAAAGCCAAACAAGCUAUUAAAGUUGUGGGAAAACCUGCUCCAGAUGAGAAGAAAAUGGCAGAAGAAACCAAAGAGAAAGCAGCCGAGGCACCAGCAAAAGACCUGAAAGCAGAGGAAAAUGUCACAGAAGGCAAAAAGCCAGGCAAGAUACCGUACUUCCAGUGUGUUUUAAUGAGCUCAAAAUCCAGCCAAUAUCCACUGCGGCCCAUGUCCCCUGCUAUGAAUCCAGCUAUUAACCCCACCAUGAUGAGAGCCAUGAUGGAGCAGAGGGCCGCAUUACUGCAGCAGAAAGCCCGUGCAGCUGGCCAGUAACUGGACGACAGACCCCUGGCAGGUGCAAACUGCUUAUGAACUGCUAUAAAAACAUAGUGCUGCUGGGCUCUCAAGAGCUAUCUUCCUAAACCAUCAGAAACUUUGGUUAGAAACAAAUAAUGAGUAGAGGUCCCUGGUUUCUCAAUGGACGCUCUCCAUUCUUUCAUAAGUGAUUUUUGAAUCUGACCAGUUUCUCAAUUUUGACAAAAAAGAGAUAUAAAUAAAUUCUAAUGUACAUUUUGAAAUAUAUUUAAUGCAUAAACACC